rnacentral:misc_RNA from 1 species
GAGAGUUUGAAGUGUAAGCUCAGAUUGAGCAUGACGCAGGAUGCUACGCAUGCAAGUCGAACGGCAGCACGGACUUCGGUCUGGUGGCGAGUGGCGAACGGGUGGUAAUGUAUCGGAACGUGCCUAGUAGCGGGGAUAACUACGCGAAAGCGUAGCUGUACAUACGCCCUUCGAGGAAGACGGGGGACCUUCGGGCCUCGCACUAUUAGAGCGGCCGAUAUCGGAUUAGCUAGUUGGUGGGGUAACGGCUCGCAAGGCGACGAUCCGUAGCUGGUUUGAAGAGGACGACCAGCCACACUGGGACGGAACACGGCCCAGACUCCUACAGGAGGCAACAGUGAAAUUUUGGACAGUGGAAACCUGAUCCAGCCAUCCGCGUGUGCGAUGAAGGCCUUCCGGGUUGUAAAAAACUACUUUUGGCAGGAAAGAAACGGCACGGGAUAAUACCCCGUGCAACUGACAGUACCUGCAGAAUAAGCACCGGCUAACUACGUGCCAGCAGCCGCGGUAAUACGUAGGGUGCAAGCGUUAAUCGGAAUUACUGGGCGUAAAGCGCAGGCGGUUCGGAAAGAUGUGAAAUCCCAGAGCUUAACUUUGGAACUGCAUUUUUAACUACCGAGCUAGAGUGUGUCAGAGGGAGGUGGAAUUCCGCGUGUAGCAGUGAAAUGCGUAGAUAUGCGGAGGAACACCGUGGCGAAGCCUCCUGGACUAACGCGACGCUCAUGCACGAAAGCGUGGGAGCAAACAGGAUUAGGUACCUGGUAGUCCACGCCCUAAACGAUGUCAACUAGCUGUUGGGGCCUUCGGGCCUUGGUAGCGCAACUAACGCGUGAAGUUGACCGCCUGGGAAGUACGGUCGCAAGAUUAAAACUCAAAGGAAUUGACGGGGACCCGCACAAGCGGUGGAUGAUGUGGAUUAAUUCGAUGCAACGCGAAAACCUUACCUACCCUUGACAUGUCUGGAAUCCCGAAGAGAUUUGGGAGUGCUCGCAGAACCGGAACAGGUGCUGCAUGGCUGUCGUCCAGCUCGUGUCGUGAGAUGUUGGGUUAAGUCCCGCAACAGGCGCAACCCUUGCCAUUAGUUGCUACGAAGGGCACUCUAAUGAGACUGCCGGUGACAAACCGGAGAAGGUGGGGAUGACGUCAGUCCUCAUGGCCCUUAUGGGUAAGGAGCUUCACACGUCAUACAAUGGUCGGGACAGAGGGUCGCCAACCCGCGAGGGGGAGCCAAUCCCAGAAACCGAUCGUAGUCCGGAUCGCAGUCUGCAACUCGACUGCGUGAGAAGUCGGAGAUCGCUAGUAAUCGCGGAUCAGCAUGUCGCGGUGAAUACGUUCCAGGUCUUGUACACACCGCCCGUCACACCAUGGGAGUGGGUUUUACCAAGUAGUUAGCCUAACCGUAAGGAGGGCGAUUACCACGGUAGGAUUCAUGACUGGGGGUGAAGUCGUAACAAGGUAGCCCUGUUACCUGAUGCUCCCGGAGUAACAGAGCUACCUUGUUACGACUUCACAGUCAUGAAUCCUACCGUGAAAUGAUCGCCUCGGUUGAGCAACUACUCUGGUAAAACCCGCGCUUUCCCGUCGUGGGCGGUGUGUAAAGCCGAAGGUAUGCCGUCACUGAUCGUUAGCUGCGAUCGAGGAUACGAUCCGGACAGCCCUCGCUGCCCUCUGUCUAUGACGUGUGAAAGCCCUACCCAUAAAGAGCCAUGGCUGACGUCGUACACCUUUCUCCGGUUUGUCACCGGCUGUCUGUCGUAAAUAAUGGCAGGAGAUAUGAGACAAAGACCCAACAUCUGACACAGCUGACGACAUGACAUUUCUGCUGCGGUCAUAUAUCUCUUUCAGGAUUGUAUAUCAGAACUUUCGCGUUAUAUCAAUUAAUCCGCAUCGUACGCGUGCGGAGUCUGAGUCAGUCACGGUUUUUCUUGCGUUCCACGGUCAACUCGCGUUAUACGCUGCAGGAAUUUAGUUGACAAUCGUUUAGGGCGUGGACUGCCGAGGCAUCUAAUUCCUGUUCCCCCGCGCACUUUCGACGAGAAACGUCGAAUCUCCAUCAGGAGCUGCCUUCGCGGUGUUCCUCGCAUAUCGCAUUUCACUGCUCUACACUCUAACGCUCGGCCAGUUAAAAAUGCGGUUCCAAAAGUUAAACUCUGGGAUUUCGCAUCUUUUUUCCGGGCCUGCAAAACAUUCCGAUUAACGCUUGCACCCUACGUAUUGCCGCGGCCUGCUGGCGGCCUACAGGUAUCGGUGCGGGUAAUAUCCUCCCGUGCCGUUCCUGCCAAAAGUGCUUUUUACCCCUUCCCCACUGCUCCACUCUCCAGGCCCGUCUCUCAGUCCCCAGUGUGGCUGAGUCGUCUCUCAAACCAACUUACGAGAUCGUCUGCCGCCAUCGGCCUUCUGCUAGUGAGGCCCAGAUCCACUUCCCAACAAUGCGGCUAUUAGCUACACUUUCGCGUGUAGUGCUCCCCCCGCUGCUAUAGGCUGAUGACCCCACCCGUUCACUGCGCGCCGAGUGCCGUUCUGUUUGCUUGCAUGCAAACUCUCUGUUACCAGGAA